UACGUAGGGCGCGAGCGUUGUCCGGAUUUAUUGGGCGUAAAGAGCUCGUAGGCGGCUUGUUGCGUCGACUGUGAAAACCUGCGGCUCAACCGUGUGGUCUGCAGUCGAUACGGGCAGGCUGGAGUUCGGUAGGGGAGACUGGAAUUCCUGGUGUAGCGGUGAAAUGCGCAGAUAUCAGGAGGAACACCGGUGGCGAAGGCGGGUCUCUGGACGGAUACUGACGCUGAGGCGCGAAAGCUAGGGGAGCAAACGGG
rnacentral:rRNA from 1 species